AGCAGUCGCCGCGGGAAUACGAAGGGGGCUAGCGUUGCUCGGAAUGACUGGGCGUAAAGGGCUCGCAGGCGGUUUUGUAAGACAGGCGUGAAAUCCCCGGGCUCAACCUGGGAACGGCGCUUGUGAUUGCAAAGCUAGAGUGCGGCAGAGGGGGAUGGAAUUCCACGUGUAGCGGUGAAAUGCGUAGAGAUGUGGAGGAACACCAGUGGCGAAGGCGACUCUCUGGUCUGUAACUGACGCUGAGGAGCUAAAGCGUGGGGAGCGAACAGGAUUAGAGACCCGUGUAGUCCCUGUCUCUUAUAC
rnacentral:rRNA from 1 species